rnacentral:rRNA from 1 species
CCUACGGGCGGCAGCAGUGAGGAAUAUUGGUCAAUGGGCGCAAGCCUGAACCAGCCAAGUCGCGUGAGGGAUGACGGUCCUAUGGAUUGUAAACCUCUUUUGUCGGGGAGCAAGGCCCGCCACGUGUGGCGGGAAGGAGAGUACCCGAAGAAAAAGCAUCGGCUAACCCCGUGCCAGCAGCCGCGGUAAUACGGAGGAUGCGAGCGUUAUCCGGAUUUAUUGGGUUUAAAGGGUGCGUAGGCGGAAGGUUAAGUCAGCGGUCAAAUGUCGGUGCUCAACACCGGCCUGCCGUUGAAACUGGUCGUCUUGAGUGAGCGAGAAGUAUGCGGAAUGCGUGGUGUAGCGGUGAAAUGCAUAGAUAGCACGCAGAACUCCGAUUGCGAAGGCAGCAUACCGGCGCUCAACUGACGCUGAGGCACGAAGGCGUGGGGAUCGAACAGGAUUAGAUACCCUGGUAGUC